rnacentral:rRNA from 1 species
AAGCACUUUUACAGAUUUCUUCGGAAUGAAGUUUUAGUGACUGAGUGGCGGACGGGUGAGUAACGCGUGGGUAACCUGCCUCACACAGGGGGAUAACAGUUGGAAACGGCUGCUAAUACCGCAUAAGACCACAGCACCGCAUGGUGCGGGGGUAAAAACUCCGGUGGUAUGAGAUGGACCCGCGUCUGAUUAGCUUGUUGGCGGGGUAACGGCCCACCAAGGCGACGAUCAGUAGCCGACCUGAGAGGGUGACCGGCCACAUUGGGACUGAGACACGGCCCAAACUCC